UACGGAGGGGGCUAGCGUUGUUCGGAAUUACUGGGCGUAAAGCGCGCGUAGGCGGCUUUGUAAGUUAGAGGUGAAAGCCCGGAGCUCAACUCCGGAAUUGCCUUUAAGACUGCAUCGCUAGAAUCAUGGAGAGGUGAGUGGAAUUCCGAGUGUAGAGGUGAAAUGCGUAGAUAUUCGGAAGAACACCAGUGGCGAAGGCGACUGACUGGACAUGUAUUGACGCUGAGGUGCGAAAGCGUGGGGAGCAAACAGG
rnacentral:rRNA from 1 species